UGUCGGGAAAAGCCGGGCCAAAGCUGCUCUUCUCCUGGAAUGAGAUUGGAAUGAGACAACGGUCCAAGUGCGGACUCCCGGAAAACUGUGAAUCCAGAGCUGGGGAGAAGGAGAGGGGGCCUUUACCACACACCCCCCCCCCACUCUCGGUGGGUGUAGCGCGAAUUUUAAUGACCAGGAGUGAAGCCAGUGGGACAUUGUAGGGCUGGUUCCGGGCUGUAUCUGACUGAGACACAAUCCGCUCUCCCUCCAACGUGGAGUUUUACCAAAUGUUUCUCAGCAGCUUCUCGGUCUCCUGUCAGUGUCUGACCCUGAUCCUGAUCGCAGUCCCGGUCCCGGUCCCGGGAAAGGAGCUGCAGGGACACAACUCACAGAAACUACUCCCCCCGCUGUUGCUGCUGCUGCUAAAUGUUGUUGCUGCUGUUUCAGAGCGAGCUCCUACACUUGGACCGAACACACUUGUACCAG